UACGUAGGUGGCAAGCGUUUGUCCGGAUUUACUGGGCGUAAAGAGCGCGCAGGCGGUCGUUCAAGUCGCGUGUGAAAGCCCCCGGCUCAACUGGGGAGGGUCACGCGAUACUGAUCGACUCGAAGGCAGGAGAGGGUAGUGGAAUUCCCGGUGUAGUGGUGAAAUGCGUAGAUAUCGGGAGGAACACCAAUGGCGAAGGCAGCUCGCUGGGACGUUACUGACGCUGAGACGCGAAAGCGUGGGGAGCAAACAGG
rnacentral:rRNA from 1 species